GAGGAGAGUAGGGAGAAGUGAGGAGGCCAUGAUUGCUCAGGAGCUCAAGAUGGCCUCUGAAGCUCUGCUGGUUUCAAAGGGCAGAGCCAAGUAGCCCAGACACACCCCUCUUCACCCUGUUCGCCCCACAGGAGAACCCUGAGACAACCCUUGGAAGUAAUAGAGACAUUACUGGUGACCCCUCUUUCCCACUCCCCCCCCUCACCCCACCCCCACCCCAAACCCCUCCGCAGCCAUGAGGGCUGGGGAGCAUUGUCUUUUUGCCUGUGACUCCUGAGAGCCCCUGAGGUCCCAAUGCUUCCCAUAAGACUUCUGCAGUCCCCAGGGGGCACUUUGGAGACAGCCUUUUCUCUCGUGUCCUCCACCCCAGCUCCUCUGUAGAAUGGCUGACAGCUCAGUUUCUUCAUCCGGGCGGAACAUUUAGGCGAGGAUUUUACCUUGAUGGCGAGACCCUCCUCCAUUUCAUAGGUUCAGUGUAGAGUCAGCUGGCUGAGGUGGCCUCUCUUGGUGGUGCUGGAUGUAAUAACCCAAGGCAGAUGGCUGCAGUUCUCUUCGGGGAGGGUGUUUGAGCUGGUGUGGAUAGCUGGUUCCCUGGCAACCCCUUUCCGGGUGGCUUUAGCAUCCUUAAUGAGCUGCUCUCCACCCGUGGUUGACAUGUGGUGGGGUGCUAGGUCUCUGGGUCCUCCUGGACUAUCAGCCAGGUACUUUCCUGGCAAGAGGGAUUCCUUCUCUAACCUUUACUUCCGGACUUUCAGAUCCCAUCCAGCUGCAUUGUUAACGACCUAGGAGGGCCUCUUAUAAAGGCUGUGCCUGCCCCAGACUGACUUGCUGGCUUGAGUGUGCUUGUGUACAAACACAGAGAGAGGAGGAGGAAAUCUGAGAAAUCUAGUUCGUGUUCAAAAGCACUGAGAUUCUGGAGUCCUGGGAGCUGUCUUUGAGGAAGCUGUGGGCUGAAGUUAAUAAAAAAGUAAUAAGC
rnacentral:lncRNA from 1 species